UACGUAGGGACCAAGCGUUGUUCGGAUUUACUGGGCGUAAAGGGCGCGUAGGCGGUGCGGUAAGUCACUUGUGAAAUCUCUGAGCUUAACUCAGAACGGCCAAGUGAUACUGCAGUACUAGAGUGCGGAAGGGGCAAUCGGAAUUCUUGGUGUAGCGGUGAAAUGCGUAGAUAUCAAGAGGAACACCUGAGGUGAAGACGGGUUGCUGGGCCGACACGUGACGCUGAGGCGCGAAAGCCAGGGGAGCAAACGGG
rnacentral:rRNA from 1 species